rnacentral:rRNA from 1 species
UACGUAGGCAGCGAGCGUUGUCCGGAUUCAUUGGGCGUAAAGAGCGUGUAGGCGGCCAGGUAGGUCGGUUGUGAAAACUGGAGGCUCAACCUUCAGAGGUCGACCGAAACCAUCUGGCUAGAGUCCGGGAGAGGAGAGUGGAAUUCCUGGUGUAGCGGUGAAAUGCGCAGAUAUCAGGAAGAACACCCGUGGCGAAAGCGGCUCUCUGGAACGGUACUGACGCUGAGACGCGAAAGCGUGGGAGCGAACAGG